rnacentral:lncRNA from 12 species
AAUAUAAGGUCAAGGCCAAUUUCAACUGUGUGAGGAUGUAUAUCUUCCUGUGUGCUUGAAGCAGAGGGGAACUAGGUAACAGUGAACAAAAGUAAUGGCUGCUGUAGAAGAGAAAGAAAGAGUUUUGAGAAGUGAAGAUAGGCUACAGACCGAAGUAGAGACCCAUUCAGGGACAUUUUGGGGUGUAGAGUCAAAAUUUCUGUGUAUGAGGACUUGGGGGGGGGUCCUUUGUGGGAAUCUAAUGAAUGCCAUCCUUCUUGUCAUCCAACUGAGAAAUGAGGCAUGAGAGUCUCCUGACGGAAAGCUGAAAGGUCACCUACGUUUCUGACAAGGCUGAUUCUGAGGACUGCCUUAGUGUGCCCGUGUACUGAGCCCUUCCAGGAGGCAGUAUGCCCUGACUCCCACAGCACUGCAUGGAGAAGCGACAUAGCCAACCACUGAGCAGGAGAAGAAGUAGGGCAGCUACACACAUUCACCCCGCUAGGCCAUUCUUUCCCCACAGGGAGGAGCAGGUGUGGAAGAUCCUUCCAAAUGAAGAAAUACCAAGAGGAAAUGAGAAGUGUUCCUCCUUCCCAACUGAGACAUGGAGAAUAAGCUGCCAGUUCUUAUGGAGCCCGCAGAGCUGGUCCACUCUGGAAAGAAUGAUGAGUCUGUGAAGAAGUCCGUGGGACCUGGCCCCCAGACGGAUACCCCCUGGGGUGCGGAGAGCAUCUGAUCUCACAGGGCAGCCAGAUUUUACUUCCUACAAGAAGUCGUUUUGGAAUUGACUUAAGCUUUAAUGCAAUAAGCUUAUCCCUACAAGGACCAUUUUCAGCAGCUAGGGAUGGCAUCUUUAGGGAACCCCAGCCUGACAGAUGUCACUUGAGCAGGUUGCAGGGUGCGGGAAUGCAAAACACGUUUUAUACAGAAUUGCCCGUUUUCUCCAUUCUCCUGUGACUCUGGAUUAUGGCAUUCUCUCAACAACUUAUGUCAAUACAACCUUGCGCCUAAGAGUCUUCAAGUCUUGGCUAUAGGAAAGCUAUGAGAGAUAAUUUGCAAGGGGCCAUGAAGACUAUAGCUAGGCAUGUGUUGUUUGCUGUGGGCCAGUCUUCCUUGUAAAUGGCACCAAUUGGGAUUGAGAGUGCGAUGGGGAAUGAAAUAAUAAUAUGAAUAAUAAAAAAUAAAAUCUC